rnacentral:misc_RNA from 1 species
UUAGUGCGCUGGUUAAAAUCGGCAAGGAGUUGAGGAUGAAAGAGCCUUACGGUGAAGCGUUGACAGGGGUACGCACGGGCCAGCCAUUGAGCUGCGAAAUAAAAUCAUCUGGAUGCCGACGUUGUUAAGCGAAGCGGAAGGCCACACCGAGGGAAGCGCUAUGCGCAAGCUUGUUGAGGAUCCCACGGUGUGCACGUGCG